rnacentral:tRNA from 1 species
GGAGGGUACAGCUCAGUGGUAGAGCACGUGCUUAGCAUGCACGGGGUCAUGGGUUCAAUCCCCAGUCCCUCCA